CUCCGACAGCACUAGGCAAUGGGAAUUUUUCAGCUCCAUUAUAAUCUUACGGGACCCGCUGUUAUAUAAUUUGGUCCACACGUCACUGACUGAAAUGUCCUCAUGCAGCGCACGACUAUAAGUCACUUAACUGAUACAAAAACGUACUUGUCUAGUCAACAACCCUGUUCUCUGUCUAUGUACUAGUCAAUGCAACCUGAAGCUGUUUGCACACGAUGAAUCAAGAACGGUAUGACUACGAACGAGGUGGGUAGAGGAAGCGCCUGAUGAGUCUGUUGAAACUUAGACCCAAGCAAUGGAGUGUUGCAAUUGACCGUGGGGGAACAGCUGCCACAAACAGCUCCUUCUGGCUUCCAGUAAUUAGGAAAGAGGAAUCUUGGAGUGCAGUUUGAACAGAACCAGUGGGCCAUCUGGCGGGCCAAAAGGCAAGGCGGAGAACUGUGAAUAGUGCUGGAAGCCGUGCGUGUAUUACACGUGCGUCAACGUAUACUGGUAUGUGAUGUGUCAGGAAUGUUUCAAGUCUUGAAUGGUUUUUAUUUAAAGGAGUGACAGUACAGAACAGUGACACGGGGACUGUUGGCUUAAAUAAUAUUAGGAAGUUUUGAUCUUUUAAUUAUAUAUUUUAAAAUUGAGAAGAAGCUGAAUAAUUUAAUGCAGUUUAACUAAAUAGUUUAGUUUAAUGCUAAACUAUUAGUAGUUUAGUUUAAUGCUACUUAGAGGCAAUAGUUAGUAAAAAUACAUACAACUUUUUUUUCAUAUCCCAAUAGCCUAGCAUAUGUGACAUAAACAGAUUCAUAUACAUACACACUAUUGGGACUAUGCAGAAUAAUGAAAAUAACUCACAGCUCCAACUCACUUCUAAUUAUAACCUUAUAGAGAAGAGUAGUCCACAGAUUCAGAUGGAAUUCGAAAUUCUUCUCAGGUUGAUAUUUUUUAGUCUCCAAGCUUGGAAAUACUGUUAAUAAUUUAUGAGUAAAUUCUUUAGGUUUUCUUUCUUUAUCAGUAAAAUGGGGGACCAAAGCGGUUGGUCUUUUCAAUUCAUAAAACGGUGUGUUUAUCAGAGGAGUUUACAUUUAAAAAAACAGUUUGAAAAGUGAGAGACCUCAUACAUAUGUAACAAGUAGAACUAGCUUUCAUACAUUUAUUUAUUCAAUAUAUUGCACUCAUCCCACUGCUCAUAUAUGUAUAAUUAUGUGCUAUAGACUAUGCUAAUUUCUGAGGCCACACUGAUGAACAAAGACAGAUGUUUCUGUCUGUGUGGUCUCUUUGGAAGGGAUAAAGGCAAUUGGAAAAUUCUUGUGAGUUUCUACAUUAUCACUUAAUAGGUGUGUGAUUUCAGGUGGGUGUAGAAUUGAAGGUAAUAGUACCUUUCAGGACUAUGUCAUAGGAUGGCUAUGAGAAUCAAAUGUGAUAGUUAUUGUAAAAUGUAUACAGUGCUCUACAAACAUGACCCUACUAUGAAAUACCAAGUGGCGAGAGAAAAGAAAUUGGAUGAAGUUUGAAUCAUGGAAACGUCCCCAAACUAAGGAUGGGGAUAAAGGAAAAAAAAAAGGGUAGAAAAUUUAUAAAGAGGGAGGUAGAAAAGUGAGAGCAAGUAAU